AGUGCUAUCCAAGUGACUCCCCCGGGAGAGGACAACUGGAAAUUUAUGCCUGGUGUCUUCCUGGACUCCGACCUAUGCACCUUUUUCCUUGGAUGAUUUUAACCUGUCUCCUUUUGCUGCAAUGAACCAUAACCAUGAGUAUAUCAGCUUUUCUAAUUUUUGUGAGUCCCUCAAGUGAAUUAUCAAACCUAAGGUAGUUUUGGGACCCCCAUCACAGAGAGUCAAACAGGGGCAGGGCAAGAAGAGCUGCUUUUCCUGGAAGGCUAAUGAGUCUGAACUUCGCCCUGGAGGUAAUCGUUAUAGUAACUCCAGGCUCUAACCUGGAGCUGACAUGAUAAGGUCAAAUGUACACCUCUAGAAGACUUCCGACUGCAGAGGGGAAUGGAUGGGGGAGCUGAGGGAGGAGAGCUGAAGCAGGAAGACCAUGGCCUGGAAAGAGAUGGCUGAACCAGUCCAGGUGGCGAGGAGUCCAUGUCAGCUGCCGUCAUCCACACCACAGAUCAGACAUGGCAAAGAGUGGCCAGGCCUUCUGAGUGAAGGUGAUCCAACCUGUCACCAAGCCUAAGGGCAAAUCCUGGCUGUGCUGUGAUGGCUCCAACAACCCCAAACAGCAGCGCAGAGGCUGCAGCCGCCCUCGGAGGCAACACUGGGAAACGCUCAUUAGCAGCCUUCCAUUGCUCACCCGCCCCAUCCCACCUCUGUGCAUCCCAGAUCAUCAGCGAAGUGCACAGCUGGCUUCCAUCCUCGGAGCCUUCCUCCUUCAUUUGCCUAUUCAACAGUUACAAAGGCCUGAGUUGCAAAGGGGCUUACAACCCAUUCCACCCAGAAGAAAGAGAACUGAGACUGAGCAAGACAGAGAAUAGGUGGAAGGGGAGAUGAAACCAAGCAAUCUCUAGAUCCCAAAUGGGGACCCUGAUGUAGCAAGAGCCUCUUUUAAAUCCUUUUCCAAUAGGGUAAUAUGGAAAAUAGUUGAAAGCACAAGCCAAGUGGGGCUGGAAUCCCAAAUGGGCCAUUUACUAGCUGUGUGACUGGACAAGUAAUUUCAUAUUUCUGGGCCUCGAUUUUUCUCAUCUGUAAAAUAGAAAAAAAAAAACCUAUGUCAUAACGUUGAUAAACAGAUUAGAUGAGCUAAGAUCUAAAAUGUCUUCUAUUCAGUAGGUGCUCAAUAAAUGUUAUCUAUUUUUA
rnacentral:lncRNA from 1 species